rnacentral:rRNA from 1 species
CAGCCGCCGCGGGAAUACGGAGGGGGCUAGCGUUGUUCGGAAUUACUGGGCGUAAAGCGCACGUAGGCGGCUUGGUAAGUUAGAGGUGAAAGCCUGGAGCUCAACUCCAGAAUUGCCUUUAAGACUGCCGAGCUAGCAGGUGAGAGAGGUAAGUGGAAUUCCGAGUGUAGAGGUGAAAUUCGUAGAUAUUCGGAAGAACACCAGUGGCGAAGGCGGCUUACUGGCUCAUACUGGACGCUGAGGUGCGAAAGCGUGGGGAGCAAACAGGAUUAGAGACCCCUGUAGUCCCUGUCUCUUAUAA